rnacentral:rRNA from 1 species
UUUCCGGUUGAUCCCGCCAGACCUGACUGCUAUCGGAUUGAUACUAAGCCAUGCGAGUCAUUGUAGCAAUACAAGGCAUACGGCUCAGUAACGCGUAGUCAACCUAACCUAUGGACGGGAAUAACCUCGGGAAACUGAGAAUAAUGCCCGAUAGAACAUUAUACCUGGAAUGGUUUAUGUUCCAAAUGAUUUAUCGCCGUAGGAUGGGACUGCGGCCUAUCAGUUUGUUGGUGAGGUAAUGGCCCACCAAGACUAUUACAGGUACGGGCUCUGAGAGGAGUAGCCCGGAGAUGGGUACUGAGACACGGACCCAGGCCCUAUGGGGCGCAGCAGGCGAGAAAACUUUGCAAUGUGCGAAAGCACGACAAGGUUAAUCCGAGUGAUUUCUGCUAAAGAAAUCUUUUGUUAGUCCUAGAAACACUAACGAAUAAGGGGUGGGCAAGUUCUGGUGUCAGCCGCCGCGGUAAAACCAGCACCUCAAGUGGUCAGGAUGAUUAUUGGGCCUAAAGCAUCCGUAGCCGGCUCUGUAAGUUUUCGGUUAAAUCUGUACGCUUAACGUACAGGCCGCCGGGAAUACUGCAAAGCUAGGGAGUGGGAGAAGUAGACGGUACUCGGUAGGAAGUGGUAAAAUGCUUUGAUCUAUCGAUGACCACCUGUGGCGAAGGCGGUCUACUAGAACACGUCCGACGGUGAGGGAUGAAAGCUGGGGGAGCAAACCGGAUUAGAUACCCGGGUAGUCCCAGCUGUAAACUAUGCAAACUCAGUGAUGCAUUGGCUUGUGGCCAAUGCAGUGCUGCAGGGAAGCCGUUAAGUUUGCCGCCUGGGAAGUACGUACGCAAGUAUGAAACUUAAAGGAAUUGGCGGGGGAGCACCACAAGGGGUGAAGCCUGCGGUUCAAUUGGAGUCAACGCCGGGG